rnacentral:rRNA from 1 species
CCUACGGGUGGCUGCAGUGGGGAAUAUUGGACAAUGGGGGCAACCCUGAUCCAGCCAUGCCGCGUGUGUGAAGAAGGCCCUCGGGUUGUAAAGCACUUUCAGUGAGGAAGAACGCCUGGUGGUUAAUACCCAUCAGGAAAGACAUCACUCACAGAAGAAGCACCGGCUAACUCCGUGCCAGCAGCCGCGGUAAUACGGAGGGUGCGAGCGUUAAUCGGAAUUACUGGGCGUAAAGCGCGCGUAGGUGGCUUGAUAAGCCGGUUGUGAAAGCCCCGGGCUCAACCUGGGAACGGCAUCCGGAACUGUCAAGCUAGAGUGCAGGAGAGGAAGGUAGAAUUCCCGGUGUAGCGGUGAAAUGCGUAGAGAUCGGGAGGAAUACCAGUGGCGAAAGCGGCCUUCUGGACUGACACUGACACUGAGGUGCGAAAGCGUGGGUAGCAAACAGGAUUAGAUACCCUUGUAGUC